AUACAGAGGGUGCGAGCGUUAAUCGGAAUUACUGGGCGUAAAGCGCGCGUAGGCGGCUUGGUCAGUCGGAUGUGAAAGCCCCGGGCUCAACCUGGGAAUGGCAUUCGAUACUGCCAGGCUAGAGUAUGGGAGAGGGAAGUGGAAUUUCCGGUGUAGCGGUGAAAUGCGUAGAUAUCGGAAGGAACACCAGUGGCGAAGGCGACUUCUUGGCCCAAUACUGACGCUGAGGUGCGAAAGCGUGGGGAGCGAACAGGAUUAGAAACCCGGGUAGUCC
rnacentral:rRNA from 1 species